GCAUGUCUAAGUAUAAGCAACUAUACGGUGAAACUGCGAAUGGCUCAUUAAAUCAGUUAUCGUUUAUUUGAUAGUACCUUUCAACAUGGAUAACCGUGGUAAUUCUAGAGCUAAUACAUGCUAAAAACCUCGACUUCGGAAGGGGUGUAUUUAUUAGAUAAAAAACCAAUGCCCUUCGGGGCUCCUUGGUGAAUCAUAAUAACUUAACGAAUCGCAUGGCCUUGCGCCGGCGAUGGUUCAUUCAAAUUUCUGCCCUAUCAACUUUCGAUGGUAGGAUAGUGGCCUACCAUGGUAUCAACGGGUAACGGGGAAUUAGGGUUCGACUCCGGAGAGGGAGCCUGAGAAACGGCUACCACAUCCAAGGAAGGCAGCAGGCGCGCAAAUUACCAAAGGGCGACACGGGGAGGUAGUGACAAUAAAUACCCUUAUAGGGUCUUUUGGGUCUUGUAAUUGGAANGAGNACAANNAAANNCNNANN
rnacentral:rRNA from 1 species